GGGGACUUUGGGCCCCAGGGUAACAGCUUGACCUCUGGAGGCACUGGAGACAAAGAUCAGCCACGUGGCAGUCAACCAUGUCUAUCUGACCAAGUUCCAAUGAAAACUCUGGACACCAAGGCUUGGGAGAUAUUUCUCAAAAGACUCCUCUGCGGGAGAGGAGAAUAGAGAAAGAAAGAAAACAACUGUGUAAGCAGACAUCAGUGUAAACCUUAGCACUGUCUCUUGAUGAGAUAAGAGGAGGAUGGCAGUGACAGGAGUGUGGUGGCGAGCCAGUCACCUGCAGUCAACCACGGCUCAUUGCUCUCACCAUGCCUGUUACAUGAAGGUAUGUAUGUAUAGGAAAAAGCACUGAAAAACUCUCCAGUUUCAGGCAUCCACUGGGGAUCUUGGAACGCAUCCUCCAAGGAUAAGUGGGGUCUA
rnacentral:lncRNA from 10 species